GAGAGAGAGAGAGAGAGGGGGACAAAAAGCCACAACUCCAGCCAAGAAAUUCUCACAGGAGUGCUGUGGUUCAACAAAACAGUUUUCACGACCAUAUUGCUUUUUUCGGUCUAGCUUCCCUCAGAUGCGGGGUGGGGGUGGGGGUGUAUGUGUGUGUGUGGGGGGGGGUUAUUACGUUUCUAACCCCAGGCCAGUAUUUGGGAAAGACAGAUCGAUGUCCUUGGUAAAUGCCAGUUCUGGCCGUGUACAGAGUCCCCUUUAAAUGCAAGUCAAUAGAGGCCUGUGUAGGAGUGUGCAGGGUCCACAUUCACUGUACACACUGCACAAUGCCGGGGUUGGGAGACAGGUGAUCAAUGCCUCUUAAACCUUCAUUCGUCACCGUGGCAAUGUUUACAGUAAUGCCUCCCAGGCCAAGCCUGCAACUGUCUCUCUCUGUGUUCAGCCUUAAAUGCCGGCACAGGGGGAAAAGGCUUCUUUGAUUAAUGUAAGAUUAGCCAAUAAGAAUCUAGUAAAGGUAAAAAAAAAAGCACUCUUCCUCACAUGCAGAAAAAUUUAGAAGAACAACACUGAUUUUUUUGUUUUCUAACCAGUUUGAUUCUACAACAGUAAAAUGUUAAAUUCCAUUUCAAAUCAGCCAUCAAUAACUAAUGUACACCAAAAGAAGCAAUGUGGAAAGAAGCUAGCUCAGCUAGCAGAGUCUGUGUCUGUUUGUCUGUCUCUCCUUCUCUCUGUCUGUCUGUCUCUCUCUCUCUCUGUUUGAUUGUGGGGUUGAAAGAGGAGAAGGGGAAAAGGACCUCCAGGCAGUUGGGUGAGCUGAGGUGGAGGACAGACUGGAGGUGAUGUGGAAAUGAUGCUGACUGUAACCUGUGGAACCCAGGUGUUUUGUGCAUGACCUGAGUGGAUGAGACAGGUUCUCGGGGGUUAACUGUUUCACCAGGCACUGUCAGCGUGGAGCUGGACUAGCCCCGUAGGCUCAGCAUUGUUUGCUCGCUCAUCAACCCCGGCCCGACGUUUCUCCCUGACACCGGGUUCUGUGCUGUUUGGAAAAGAAGGGGGCAUAUUUCUCCGGCCCCGCGGAUCCGUUUGACUCGCUUAUUAUUCUGCUUAUGCAAAGGCUGCGUUCUCACUGCACAGCCACAAAGAGGAACUGAGUCACACAAUGCAGAAAGUGAAUAGAGCAGCCAAAACCCCCUCCCCCUCCCUCCGCUGGACCCAUGUGAGCUGCUCGCCCUUGGCAGCUCUCAUUCCCGCCGCAGGGCACCUGUUCUGUCCAAUUUGCCUCUGCGCGGAGAUGCUAUUGCACACUACGAAACUUCAUGCAAGUCUAAGUGAUUACAUAUGGUUGUAUCCCUGGGGUAUUCGAGGUGGUCCAGGCAUCCACUGAAAACAACAACAACGACAAAAAACCCCCCUCUUAAAUAACAAACUUUCUGUUUUUUCUUUUUCCCUUUACAAAAAAUGUUUUGUGCAUAAAGAAGUCCUGGUCGACAGAUGAUGUGAUUACAAAUUGCAGCCUUAGCUUUUGAGGUAGUUAACUUCAGUUUGAAAUGACUUUUUAUUAUUAUUACCAUUAUUAUUAUUUUUAUUGUUGCUGCAUGACAUAUGGCAUAUGAAAAUAAAUUUUGAUGAUCUGGCACAACAUUAAGCUAUAGGGUACACGGGGGUCCACGCUCAUCCAUUCUGUGUCACUAUCUGGAUAUUGUCUUCAAUGUCUGUAUCGACAACACAGUGACAGCUGCGGUAAUUAAUAACCUCAGUGUACAGGGACUAAUCCAUUCACCCCCAUUGGCUUUUUAUGUAGACUCUAUAUCUACAUUUCCAUACUGUAUUGGUUCUGUUGCUGCAUUGCACAUCUGAGCUGUUGCACUACUUACCACUGCCGGACACUGUUCAUACUGUUUGUUACUUUAUUGCUACUUUAUCUCUAUUUUAUCUUAUUUGUUGUUCCACUUUUUACCUUAUUUAUUGUUUUUUAUAGCAUCGAGUAUGAAAGUUGCAAACGCAGUCUUGUUGUAACUGUGCAAUGACAAUUGUUCUUGUGCAAUGACAAUAAAGAUAUUCUAUUCUA